rnacentral:tRNA from 1 species
GUCUCCGUGGCGCAAUUGGUUAGCGCGUUCGACUGUUAUCUAGAUCUGCCGCUUACACGGGCGUACAAGGCAUGACCAUCGAGAGGUUGACAGUUCAAUCCUGUCCGGGGACG